rnacentral:rRNA from 1 species
UACGUAGGGUGCGAGCGUUAAUCGGAAUUACUGGGCGUAAAGCGUGCGUAGGCGGUCCGCAAAGUCUGAUGUGAAAGCCCCGGGCUCAACCUGGGAACUGCAUUGGAAACUAACGGGCUCGAGUGUGGCAGAGGGGGGUGGAAUUCCACGUUUAGCAGUGAAAUGCGUAGAGAUGUGGAGGAACACCGAUGGCGAAGGCAGCCCCCUGGGCUAACACUGACGCUCAGGCACGAAAGCGUGGGGAGCAAACAGG